AAGUUCGUAGCGGCAUCUCGGCAGUGAUUGCGUAUUAGGUUCCUGCUUAAAAUCUCACUGUUUAUUACCAGAUGGAGGCGAACGAAGUAAUGAUCGACGACUGCGAGGCGAGUUUUUCUGGUGAGUGGCGGGUUUAGAAUGGCCCCACGCUUGGUGCACAAAUGGAUGAGCCACUCGAUCUCUGUGUACAUCGCCAUUCAGAUGCUAGUUCUCCGGUGGUUCUACGUGACUGCACCAACACUAUGAGGGAAGACCAGGUUGAUGAGUUCUUUGUUUCUCCUCCAACUCCAAAGCGCAACCCAACGCAUCGAAAUUAUGUCAAUCGCACGCAUAUCGUGUUAACGGCUGCCGAAAGGCUGAAAGAAAUGCGGAUUUUUGAAGAAAGAAAAAGCAACAAACAUAAUUUAAGAAGAAAAGAGCGGAAAUGCGCGAAAUUCGUAAGAAAGAAAAAGAGAGGGAGGCAGAAGAAAGGAAAAGAAGAAGCUGUUGAGGGAAAAGGAAAAACAACUGAUGAUUCAGCUGAAAGAAGAGAAAGCAUUAAAGAGGAAACAAGUAAAGGAAAAGAAAGAGUUUGAGAAAAAUAAUAAAAGCAAAAGUUAGCGAAAAUGUUACUCUAACAACUUGAAAUUGAUUAUUGAGCAACAAAUGCUGUAAGAGUUCGUAGAUCGAGAUAAGGCAGCACAGAUACAAGUAAAAUUGUUGUUUCAAAAACGAUAAACAUUACAAAUAAUAAAAAUCAGAAAAGAAAAACUAGCAAAAUGAUAAU